GUAAUGGCAGGUCAGCAUACUGCCGUGAAUACGUUCCCGGGCCUUGUACACACCGCCCGUCACACCAUGAGAGUUGGGGAAUACCCGAAGCCUGUGAGCUAACUAAAGAGGCAGCAGUCGAAGGUAGAAUCAAUGAUUGGGGUGAAGUCGUAACAAGGUAAC
rnacentral:rRNA from 1 species